AGAGUUUGAUCCUGGCUCAGAUGAACGCUGCGCGUGCCUACACAUGCAAGUCGAACGGAGCUAUUUAGGAAACGUUCCUUCGGGGAGCGGAAUCUUUAGCUUAGUGGCGACGGGUGAGUACGCGUGAGCAAUCUGCCUUUGGAUGGGGGAUAACAGCCGGAAACGGCUGCUAAUACCGCAUAAUGCAACGGGAUCGCACGGUCCUGCUGCCAAAGAUUUAUUGUCCAAAGAUGAGCUCGCGUCUGAUUAGCCAGUUGGCGGGUAACGGCCCACCAAAGCGACGACCAGUAGCCGGACUGAGAGGUUGAACGGCCAUAUUGGGACUGAGACACGGCCCAGACUCCUACGGGAGGCAGCAGUGGGGAAUAUUGCGCAAUGGGGGGAACCCUGACGCAGCAACGCCGCGUGAUUGAAGAAGGCCUUCGGGUUGUAAAGAUCUUUAAUCGGGGACGAAACAUGACGGUACCCGAGGAAUAAGCUCCGGCUAACUACGUG
rnacentral:rRNA from 1 species